rnacentral:rRNA from 1 species
AGGACGAACGCUGGCGGCGUGCUUAACACAUGCAAGUCGAGCGGUAAGGCCUUUCGGGGUACACGAGCGGCGAACGGGUGAGUAACACGUGGGUGAUCUGCCCUGCACUUCGGGAUAAGCCUGGGAAACUGGGUCUAAUACCGGAUAUGACCUCCUAUCGCAUGGUGGGUGGUGGAAAGAUUUAUCGGUGCAGGAUGGGCCCGCGGCCUAUCAGCUUGUUGGUGGGGUAAUGGCCUACCAAGGCGACGACGGGUAGCCGACCUGAGAGGGUGACCGGCCACACUGGGACUGAGACACGGCCCAGACUCCUACGGGAGGCAGCAGUGGGGAAUAUGCACAAUGGGCGAAAGCCUGAUGCAGCGACGCCGCGUGAGGGAUGACGGCCUUCGGGUGUAAACCUCUUUCAGCAGGACGAAGCGCAAGUGACGGUACCUGCAGAAGAAGCAACCGGCUAACUACGUGCCAGCAAGCCGC